rnacentral:rRNA from 1 species
UACGUAGGGUCCGAGCGUUAAUCGGAAUUACUGGGCGUAAAGCGUGCGCAGGCGGUUUGCUAAGACCGAUGUGAAAUCCCCGGGCUUAACCCGUAGGGAACUGCAUUGGUGACUGGCAGGCUAGAGUAUGGCAGAGGGGGGUAGAAUUCCACGUGUAGCAGUGAAAUGCGUAGAGAUGUGGAGGAAUACCGAUGGCGAAGGCAGCCCCCUGGGCCCAAUACUGACGCUCAU